rnacentral:rRNA from 1 species
CAAUAGCGUAUAUUAAAGCUGUUGCGGUUAAAAAGCUCGUAGUUGGAUUUCUGUCAAGGACAACUGGUCCCCUCCGGGUGAGCACAUAGUUUGGUCUUGACAUCUUGCUGGAAGCUGUUGCUGCACUUGGCUGUGUGGCGCAGUGUUCAGCACUUUCACUUUGAGGAAAUUGGAGUGUUUCAAGCAGGCACAUGCCUUUGGACACAGUAGCAUGGAAUAAUUAGAUUGGGCUUUUGCUCCAAUUUGUCGGUUUCUGGAGCUGAGGUGAGUAUUAAUGGGGAUUGUUGGGGGCAUCCGAAUUUAGCCGUCAGAGGUGAAAUUCUUGGAUCUGCUAAAGACGGACAACUGCGAAAGCGUUUGCCCAGGAUGUUUNCAUUGA